AUGCACUCAUGUAUAUUUAUGUAUUUAAAUUGCUGAAACAUGAAUUUCAGGCAUUUGUCUGGUAAACAGAAAGCUCUUGCCACGGUCUUUGCUGAGAUGGAAAAUGAUACUCCAGGUACUGUUGAUGGUGUGAUCCAAACAAAAGAAGGUAAAGUUGCUGCUACAUCUGAUGAUUAUGUUUAUCAAAUACGCUCAGCUUUAAAUGAGCAUGAUACUGAAAAUGAAGUUGAAAGUGGACAAAAGAAAAGUGGCUAGCUUCAUUUAAAAACUGUGUACUUUUAGAUUUGUAUAGAAUUGUUAAAUAUGUUUAUAUAUCAUUCUGUUAUUCAAUUGUUAAAACAUACAUCAUUCACAGAAAUAAAAUUUUAAAAAAUUGC